UCCGGCCAUAUCGCGUUGAAACACCGGUUUUCGUGCGAUCAAUGAAGUUGAGCAACAUUGAGCCUGGGCAGUAUGUGGAUGGGUGAACUCUUGGGAAUACCAGGACG